UACGAAGGGAGCUAGCGUUGUUCGGAAUCACUGGGCGUAAAGGCUCGUAGGCGGCCAACUAAGUCAGACGUGAAAUCCCUCGGCUUAACCGGGGAACUGCGUCUGAUACUGGAUGGCUAGAGGUUGGGAGAGGGAUGCGGAAUUCCAGGUGUAGCGGUGAAAUGCGUAGAUAUCUGGAGGAACACCCGUGGCGAAGGCGGCUCUCUGGGCCAUUACUGACGCUGAGGAGCGAAAGCGUGGGGAGCGAACAGG
rnacentral:rRNA from 1 species